rnacentral:rRNA from 1 species
CCUACGGGAGGCAGCAGUGAGGAAUAUUGGUCAAUGGUCGGGAGACUGAACCAGCCAAGCCGCGUGAGGGAUGAAGGUACAGAGUAUUGUAAACCUCUUUUGUCAGGGAACAAAGGCGGGGACGUGUCCCCGGAUGAGUGUACCUGAAGAAAAAGCAUCGGCUAACUCCGUGCCAGCAGCCGCGGGAAGACGGAGGAUGCGAGCUUUAUCCGGGUUUAUUGGGUUUAAAGGGGGCGCAGGCGGUCUGUUAAGUCAGCGGUCAAAGCCCGGGGCUCAACCCCGGCCCGCCGUUGAAACUGGCAGUCUCGAGUUGGAGAGAAGUAUGCGGAAUGCGCGGUGUAGCGGUGAAAUGCAUAGAUAUCGCGCAGAACUCCGAUUGCGAAGGCAGCAUGCCGGCUCCACACUGACGCUGAGGCACGAAAGCGUGGGUAUCGAACAGGAUUAGAUACCCGAAUAGUC